GUCAUAGCUCAGUUGGUAGAGCAGGAAACACCUAAUCUUAGGGUUGGGGGUUUGAGCCCCACUUUGGGCA